rnacentral:rRNA from 1 species
GACGAACGCUGGCGGCGUGCCUAAUACAUGCAAGUUGAGCGCUGAAGGUUGGUACUUGUACCAACUGGAUGAGCAGCGAACGGGUGAGUAACGCGUGGGGAAUCUGCCUUUGAGCGGGGGACAACAUUUGGAAACGAAUGCUAAUACCGCAUAAAAACUUUAAACACAAGUUUUAAGUUUGAAAGAUGCAAUUGCAUCACUCAAAGAUGAUCCCGCGUUGUAUUAGCUAGUUGGUGAGGUAAAGGCUCACCAAGGCGAUGAUACAUAGCCGACCUGAGAGGGUGGUCGGCCACAUUGGGACUGGGACACGGCCCAAACUCCUACGGGAGGCAGCAGUAGGGAAUCUUCGGCAAUGGACGAAAGUCUGACCGAGCAACGCCGCGUGAGUGAAGGAGGUUUUCGGAUCGUAAAACUCUGUUGGUAGAGAAGAACGUUGGUGAGAGUGGAAAGCUCAUCAAGUGACGGUAACUACCCAGAAAGGGACGGCUAACUACGUG